rnacentral:rRNA from 1 species
UACGUAGGGGGCGAGCGUUGUCCGGAGUUACUGGGCGUAAAGGGCGCGCAGGCGGUGCGGCGCGUUUGGCGUGACAGCGGAGGGCUUAACUCUCCGAGGAUGCGGAAGACGGCGGCACUUGAGGGCCAGAGAGGGACACGGAAUUCCGGGUGGAGUGGUGAAAUGCGUAGAGAUCCGGAGGAACACCGAAGGCGAAGGCAGUGUCCUGGCUGGUGACUGACGCUGAGGUGCGAAAGCUAGGGGAGCGAACGGG